GGCUAGAGACUAUUGGUCCUUUUAAUGUAAAGGUACUGGUAGGAAGGCUAGUCUUUUUUUCUAGAGGCCUAUAUGCCUUUCGGGGUGUGAUAGGAAAAGCUCUAGGACUAGAUACUGUGAAGAAAUUAGAGUGUUUAAGGCAGGCAUGGAGAGCAUGAAUACAUUAGCAUGGAAUAAUAGAAUAAGACUUUUAUUCUAUUGGUUUUGAGGAUGAAAGUA
rnacentral:rRNA from 1 species